rnacentral:rRNA from 1 species
UCGUUGGUGACCAGCGGAGGGAUCAUUACCGAGUUUACAACUCCCAAACCCAAUGUGAACGUUACCAAACUGUUGCCUCGGCGGGGUCACGCCCCGGGUGCGUCGCAGCCCCGGAACCAGGCGCCCGCCGGAGGAACCAACCAAACUCUUUCUGUAGUCCCCUCGCGGACGUAUUUCUUUACAGCUCUGAGCAAAAAUUCAAAAUGAAUCAAAACUUUCAACAACGGAUCUCUUGGUUCUGGCAUCGAUGAAGAACGCAGCGAAAUGCGAUAAGUAAUGUGAAUUGCAGAAUUCAGUGAAUCAUCGAAUCUUUGAACGCACAUUGCGCCCGCCAGUAUUCUGGCGGGCAUGCCUGUCCGAGCGUCAUUUCAACCCUCGAACCCCUCCGGGGGAUCGGCGUUGGGGAUCGGGACCCCUCACACGGGUGCCGGCCCCUAAAUACAGUGGCGGUCUCGCCGCAGCCUCUCCUGCGCAGUAGUUUGCACAACUCGCACCGGGAGCGCGGCGCGUCCACGUCCGUAAAACACCCAACUUUCUGAAAUGUUGACCUCGGAUCAGGUAGGAAUACCCGCUGAACUUAAGCAUAUCAA